AGUAGCUAGGAUUACAGGCAUAAGCUUCUAGUUCCUAGUGAGUUACUGGUCUUCCUGUAUCUUUGUUUCCUAUGUUAUACCAUUAAGUCUUUGUUUAUUAAAUGAGAUAAUAUGUAAGAAAAUACCUGAUGUAGUAAAGGUUAUCUGUUACCAUUGUAAUUAUCACUGUAUCAUUCCCAAUCUUUUUUUUUUUUUUUGCCAGUCCUGGGGCUUGAACUCAGAGACAGGUCUCUGCCCCUAAGCCUCUCUGUGGUAAAGGCUAGUGCUCUACCACCUGAGCCAUAGCACCUCUUGCGGCUUUUUCUGUUUAUGCGGUCCUAAGGAAUUUGAACAUUUCAUUACAUUAAACAAAAUCAUCAUUUUAUAUAUAUAUAUAUAUAUAUACAUAUAUGUACAAUCUCAUAUAAUCACAUAUGUGUAUAUAUAUAUGUGGAUAAUCUCAUAUAAACUUACAUGUGAGCCUCACUUUGGAAAUGCAACAUGUCUUUCAAGUGUCCUACAAAAGCCUUGCUUGGCCUAGUUCUUACUUCUCUCCCAAUCUCUUUCAAACCUCUCUUCCUGGCUAUAUGUGGCCCUCUUCCAUGGCUCCUGCACACACAGCCCUGACCAGCCUCAAAGCCUUUGUGCUUGGUGGUCUCUGCCACUGGAGGAAACUUUAUUUGGAAUUAGCAUUCACAGUUCUAGCUAAGAGAUUUAAGUUUAAAUGCCAUUCCUCCUUGAUGGAAGACUAUAACACAGUUAUACCCUGUCACUUCUGCCUUCCUGGCACUUACUAAGAUUUGGAAUAAUCUUAAUAGAGACAAGUCUACUUUUUCAUGCCUAAAUCUUUUAACACCUAAAACAAAAUCUGGCAUGUUGUGGGCUUUUAAUAAAACUUCAUUGAGUGAAUGAAGUACUUAACAGAAAAAUGUGUGAUAAGAAGGUAAAAUGAAGCAGAAACACAAAGCUUGACUACUAAAGAAAUAAAGGACAAACUGGGAAACCGAUCAUUUGAAAUGAGAACCAGGAAGCAUCAAGAAAUCUAUCUGUAAGUGCUGAGAUGUUUAUCUGUAAAUACUGUAUGUAACAUGAACACAAAAUGGAGAAAACCAAAGGAGGAGUUGGUUUCAAGACAAAAAGAAUUAUCAGGUUUCCAGAGCUCAGUAUGAGAGCCAAUCAAGAAAAAACUGCUAAUCAAGAAAAAAAAUCUGAUUACUCUGAAGAAAUCUUGGUCAAGGGAAAAGGAUAGGAAACCAAACUUAGAGGCUGAGUGAACUUGCAAAGAUACACGGAAGAAGGAAGCUCUCCCAAGAAUGUGUACUCCAAAGAAAGAAGAGUGGGCAGGUGCCAUGACUCGUACCUGUUCACCCUAGCUACUCAGGAGGUAUCUGAGGGUCUGUCUCAGUUCAAAGACAGCCUUAGGCAGUUAAGCCAGUGAGACUAUUAUCUCCAAUUAACUA